CUCUUUCAGUUGAGAGAAAAAGUCGUGACUAAUAAUCAUGAUUCAUGACGGUAUCAACAGAGAAGCACCGGCUAACUACGUGCCAGCAGCCGCGGUAAUACGUAGGGUGCAAGCGUUAAUCGGAAUUACUGGGCGUAAAGGGUGCGCAGGCGGUUCUGUAAGUCAGAUGUGAAAUCCCCGGGCUUAACCUGGGAACUGCGUUUGAAACUGCAGAGCUAGAGUGCAGCAGAGGGAGGUGGAAUUCCAUGUGUAGCAGUGAAAUGCGUAGAGAUAUGGAAGAACAUCGAUGGCGAAGGCAACCUCCUGGGCUAGCACUGACGCUCAUGCACGAAAGCGUGGGGAGCAAACAGGAUUAGAUACCCUGGUAGUCCACGCCCUAAACUAUGUCAACUAGUUGUCGGGUCUUAUUAGACUUGGUAACGUAGCUAACGCGUGAAGUUGACCGCCUGGGGAGUACGGUCGCAAGAUUAAAACUCAAAGGAAUUGACGGGG
rnacentral:rRNA from 1 species